rnacentral:rRNA from 1 species
UACGAAGGGGGCUAGCGUUGUUCGGAAUUACUGGGCGUAAAGCGUGCGUAGGUGGUUUGUUAAGUCUGAUGUGAAAGCCCUGGGCUCAACCUGGGAAUUGCACUGGAUACUGGCAGGCUAGAGUGCGGUAGAGGAUGGCGGAAUUCCCGGUGUAGCAGUGAAAUGCGUAGAGAUCGGGAGGAACAUCCGUGGCGAAGGCGGCCAUCUGGACCAGCACUGACACUGAGGCACGAAAGCGUGGGGAGCAAACAGG